UACGUAGGGUGCGAGCGUUAAUCGGAAUUACUGGGCGUAAAGCGUGCGCAGGCGGCUAUUUAAGCUUGCUGUGAAAGCCCCGGGCUUAACCUGGGAACUGCAGUGAGGACUGGAUGGCUGGAGUGUGGCAGAGGGGGGUGGAAUUCCACGUGUAGCAGUGAAAUGCGUAGAGAUGUGGGGGAACACCGAUGGCGAAGGCAGCCCCCUGGGCUAACACUGACGCUCAGGCACGAAAGCGUGGGGAACAAACAGG
rnacentral:rRNA from 1 species